rnacentral:snRNA from 1 species
AUUGCUUCUUGGGAAAGUUUAGUAUCCGUUCAUAUCAGCCUGAUAAGAGGACCAUGAGUCUUCUUCUGUAUUACACUCAUUUCUGAUUAGGGUUGGAUGUUCGAUGCGUGUGUCGUUUUCGCUAUUAGUUGACCCGGUAUUGCAGUAGUUCGAGGAACAUCGAAAUGUGA